rnacentral:rRNA from 1 species
UACGGAGGGUGCAAGCGUUUAUCCGGAUUCACUGGGUUUAAAGGGUGCGUAGGUGGGUCUGUAAGUCAGUGGUGAAAUACUCCAGCUUAACUGGAGGGGUGCCAAUGAUACUGCAGGGCUUGAGUACAGAUGAGGUAGGCGGAAUUGACGGUGUAGCGGUGAAAAUGCGCAGAUAUCGGGAGGAACACCAGUAGCGAAGGCGGCACUCUGGGCCGUGACUGACGCUGAGGAGCGAAAGCGUGGGUAGCAAACAGG